rnacentral:rRNA from 1 species
AACUCAAAGGAAGUUGACGGGGCCCGCACAAGCGGUGGAGCAUGCGGUUUAAUUCGAAGCAACGCGAAGAACCUUACCAAGACUUGACAUCCCCUGACAGCUGUUGAAAGGCAGUGUCUCUUCGGAGCAGGGAGACAGGUGGUGCAUGGUUGUCGUCAGCUCGUGUCGUGAGAUGUUGGGUUAAGUCCCGCAACGAGCGCAACCCUUAUCCUUAGUUACCAGCACGUAAAGGUGGGGACUCUAGGGAGACCGCCGGGGACGACUCGGAGGAAGGUGGGGACGACGUCAAAUCAUCAUGCCCCUUAUGUCUUGGGCUACACACGUGCUACAAUGGCCGCAACAGAGGGAAGCGAGAGCGCAAGCUGGAGCAAAACCCUAAAAAGCGGUCCCAGUUCGGAUUGUGGGCUGCAACCCGCCCACAUGAAGUCGGAGUUGCUAGUAAUCGCGAAUCAGCAUGUCGCGGUGAAUGCGUUCCCGGGCCUU